rnacentral:rRNA from 1 species
GAUGAACGCUGGCGGCGUGCCUAACACAUGCAAGUCGAGCGAUUUACUUCGGUAAAGAGCGGCGGACGGGUGAGUAACGCGUGGGUAACCUGCCCUGUACACACGGAUAACAUACUGAAAGGUAUGCUAAUACGGGAUAACAUAAGAGAGUCGCAUGGCUUUCUUAUCAAAGCUUUUGCGGUACAGGAUGGACCCGCGUCUGAUUAGCUAGUUGGUAAGGUAACGGCUUACCAAGGCGACGAUCAGUAGCCGACCUGAGAGGGUGAUCGGCCACAUUGGAACGGAGACACGGUCCAAACUCCGACGGGGGGCAGCAGUGGGGAAUAUUGCACAAUGGGCGAAAGCCUGAUGCAGCAACGCCGCGUGAGCGAUGAAGGCCUUCGGGUCGUAAAGCUCUGUCCUCAAGGAAGAUAAUGACGGUACUUGAGGAGGAAGCCCCGGCUAACUACGUGCCAGCCGCCGCCGUAA